AAUCCACACUGAGACGUAUUGACGAGAAUAAAAACGGAAUAUGCAAUCGAGUGUGAAUGUACGUGCGAAGACUCGCCAUGUAAUGUACGUUCUGCGUUAUCGAGUCUACUUUGAGAAAGGAUCCACUGACAUAUUUUCCACUGACGAUAUUAAUUGCUUCAAAGCAUGCGCUUUUCCUUUUCUUUUCAACCAAAAAGGAGUCGACCCUAUGAGAAAAUCUUCAAUUGCAACAAGCUUGUUGGGUACACAUUUGAAUGUUAAAAACAUUGUUAACAUAUAUCUUCUACAC